UGAAUACGAGAUGCUACGGCGUCGAAGCAGUGUAUGUCAGACUUCCAAGAAAAGCUCGCAAUGUCAUAAAUAAAGAAUGCCUGUACCAUAACCGACACAGGUGGGUAGGUAGAGUAUACUAAGGGGCGCGAGAUAACUCUCUCUAAGGAACUCGGCAAAAUAACUCCGUAACUUCGGGAGAAGGAGUGCCUUCUUUAAGAAGGUUGCAAUAACAAGAUCCAAGCAACUGUUUAUCAAAAACACAGGUCUCCGCUAAGUCGUAAGACGAUGUAUGGGGGCUGACGCCUGCCCAGUGCCAGAAGGUUAAAGAAGUUGGUUAGCUUUUGCGAAGCUGAUGACUGAAGCCCUGGUGAACGGCGGCCGUAACUAUAACGGUCCUAAGGUAGCGAAAUUCCUUGUCGGGUAAGUUCCGACCCGCACGAAAGGCGUAAUGAUUUGGAUACUGUCUCGGAGAGGGACUCGGUGAAAUAGACUUGUCUGUGAAGAUGCGGACUACCUGCACCAGGACAGAAAGACCCUAUGAAGCUUUACUGUAACUUGAAAUUGAAAUUGGACUUUAUUUGCGCAGUAUAGGUGGAAGGCGUUGAAAGUAAUCUUGCGGGAUUAGUGGAGCCAUCAGUGAGAUACCACUCCUAUAAUGUUAGAUUUCUAACUUUGGAUCAUGAUCUGGUCAAAGAACAGUUUCAGGCGGGCAGUUUGACUGGGGCGGUCGCCUCCCAAAUGGUAACGGAGGCGUACAAAGGUUUCCUCUGAACGGGUAGAAAUCGUAUCUAGAGUGUAAAGGCAUAAGGAAGCUUGACUGUGAGACCUACAAGUCGAGCAGGGACGAAAGUCGGUCUUAGUGAUCUGACGGUGCUGAGUGGAAAGGCCGUCACUCAACGGAUAAAAGUUACUCUAAGGAUAACAGGCUGAUCUCCCCCAAGAGUUCACAUCGACGGGGAGGUUUGGCACCUCGAUGUCGGCUCAUCGCAUCCUGGGGCGGUAGUACGUCCCAAGGGUUGGGCUGUUCGCCCAUGAAAGCGGUACGCGAGCUGGGUUCAGAACGUCGUGAGACAGUUCGGUCCAUAUCCGGUGUAGGCGUUAGAAUAUUGAGAGGAGCCUUCUUUAGUACGAGAGGACCGAGAAGGACAUACCUCUGGUGUACCAGUUAUCGUGCCAACGGUAAACGCUGGGUAGCUAUGUAUGGAGAGGAUAACCGCUGAAAGCAUCUAAGUGGGAAGCCCACCUCAAGAUGAGUAUUCUCAC
rnacentral:rRNA from 1 species